GGAAGAUUAACCCUAAAGGUAAGGGAGCAGUUUGCUAAACUGCCAGUAGCUGAGAAAUCGGUGUACCAGUUCAAGUCUGGUAUCUUCCCCCA
rnacentral:tRNA from 1 species